rnacentral:lncRNA from 1 species
ACCCUAACAGCUAAUGAGAGGAAGCACAGGUUUCCCAGGGCAGCCUCGUGGCAUUUCUCUGUGAAUAGGUAAAAAGGAGAUGAGAGUAAUUCAAGCUAAGGGAGCAAACAGCAGGGACAGAGCGUCCCUCCCUCCCUGUCUGUAGAAAUCAGCAGAUAGCACACCUGCUGCUGCUCAAGCUCCCUCUGCCAAGCAGAGCAGCACAGCUGCAAGACACUGCUUCUGGCCGGCUGCUCUGAGCUCUGCCUGUCUUCUGGGAUGGAGCCCCGCCCAAGGCAAGUUCAACUGGGUUCUUUGGCAGCUGAAGUCUACACGGACCCAGCAGGGAGCGGCGGAGAAAAGUGCCUACUUUGAUGACUUAUUACCCUAGUGCCUUUGAUCUCCACUGUAGAAAAUGCUCUGCUCCAUUUCAGAACAGAUUGCCAUGUGCCCCAUUCUCUGGCCUGUGGAGCAAACCAGCGACAGACCUCACAGAUAGAAAUCCACCAUUGGCCAUUCACAAAGAGAGUUCUCCUAGUAAGGGGAGUGAAUGUGAUGAUCCAUAUUUCCUGGAAAAUCUUCCUAGAGGCCUGAGAUGAUAAAUAUUGCCUGUUCCAGAACAGCUGGAAGUAAUGUGGCCAUGAAUGGAAUUGAGAAAUCUGCCUUCAAUAAGACAAAAAUAAAUAAGCCAAACCAUGGAAUUUCAAGGCAUUUAUACCAUGUCUGAGGUUCAAGACCAGGAUGGAUUUUGGAGAGGGAAUAUUAUUCUUGGGAGACAGAAAAAUUGCAACUUGCCAGUUGAUUGACCUCCAUAUGUUCUCUACUCUGCGUUCCACAUUGACUGUGUGCUACACUGCGCGUGUAGAGAUUGCUGACUAUUUACAAGACACUAUUCCAUACUGGAGACACUUGUGAGCAAAUUUGACAUGUCUGCUUCCUCCUGUCUUUUCUUCUACGUCAUACUCAUUGUGAGUAAUUACGAACAUCCAUAUGGGGGAGCCACUUUGAAGUUCUGCACAAAAACAACACAUGACCCUAAAGAUGAAAAAAAUAACUUCCUUCCAUCACAAAGAGUUCACAUUUUCCUCUACAUUCUAUUUUGUGAAAAGGAAAUGAGGACUUGAGUGAAUCUUAAGGUUUUUUUUUCUCCAAAAUAUGGAUAUUAAAUCAGAAACCAAACAAGAAGCAAAGAACAAAAGCCACAGCAACGCAACAGCAACAAAAAAAACGAGGAGUCUUCUGGUUCAAUCCAACGCAGUAACCUGUAUGAUAGGUAACAAUGGUAAUUAUUCCAUAUAUACUCUUUCUAUUAAUAGAAGAAAUGCAAAGAGGAAGAAGUGGACAUCCACUGGCUUCCCUUUAGCUAUUGUGGCCGUCUAUAAAAAGAGAAUUGGAGAAGAGAAUAAUUAUCUCCUUAUUUGGUUCAGGUAAACAGUCAUUUUUUAUUUUCAUAAAGACACUACAAAACAAAAGGCAUUAUUGCAGAAAACUUGGGAUUGUUACUAAAUUAUCAGAUAAUCUCUUCUACUCUACUUUGCUAUUGAUGAAUGUUUUACCUAUUAUCCCCAAUAAUUGUGUAUGGCUAUGUUCCAAAGGAAAUAAAAAUAAUAUUCGGCUUAUGCAUGCUUUUUAUUAGCCAUAUUCUAAGAAGAUUUUUUUUCCAAAACAAGUUUAGUAGUCAUGCUUUCUAUUUUUAAUUUGUAUUUAACACUCCAUUUCAGUUCUCACCAUUCAUGUGCUCUGUGUUUACCUG